rnacentral:rRNA from 1 species
GAUGAACGCUGGCGGCGUGCCUAAUACAUGCAAGUCGAGCGGGAGAAUCAUCCUUCGGGAUGAGGAUCCAGCGGCGAACGGGUGAGUAACACGUGGGCAACCUGCCCGCAAGACCGGGAUAACUCCGGGAAACCGGGGCUAAUACCGGAUAGUCCUUUUCCCCGCAUGGGGAAAAGGGGAAAGGCGGCUUCGGCUGUCACUUGCGGAUGGGCCCGCGGCGCAUUAGCUGGUUGGUGAGGUAACGGCUCACCAAGGCGACGAUGCGUAGCCGACCUGAGAGGGUGAUCGGCCACACUGGGACUGAGACACGGCCCAGACUCCUACGGGAGGCAGCAGUAGGGAAUUUUCCGCAAUGGGCGAAAGCCUGACGGAGCAACGCCGCGUGAGUGAGGACGGCCUUCGGGUUGUAAAACUCUGUUCUUGAGGAAGAAUUCCUUCCAGGCGAACAGCCUGGAAGGUUGACGGUACUCAAGGAGAAAGCCCCGGCUAACUACGUGCCAGCAGCCGCGGUAAUACGUAGGGGGCGAGCGUUAUCCGGAAUUAUUGGGCGUAAAGCGCGCGCAGGCGGCUGAUUAAGUCAGGUGUGAAAGGCUGCGGCUAAACCCAAAACCGCAACCGAAAACGGGCAACCUGAAGGCAAGAAAAGGGAACCGAAAUCCCCGGGGAAGCGGUGGAAUGCGUAGAGAUCGGGAGGAACACCAGUGGCGAAGGCGGCUCUCUGGCCUGUA